GAUGAACGCUGGCGGCGUGCUUAACACAUGCAAGUCGAACGGAAAGGCCCAAGCUUUCUUGGGUACUCGAGUGGCGAACGGGUGAGUAACACGUGGGUGAUCUGCCCUUCACUUCGGGAUAAGCCUUGGAAACUGGGUCUAAUACCGGAUAGGACGUUGGUUUGGAUGCCAUUGUGUAAAGUUUUUUCGUUUUGGGAUGAGGUCGCGGACUAUCAGCUUGUUAGUGGGGUAUUGGCCUACCAAAGCGUCGACGGGGAGCCGGCCUGAGAGGGUGUACGGACACACUGGACUUGUGAGACGGGCCACAGUACGACGGGAGGCAGAAGGGGGGAAGAUUGGACAAUGCGAGCAAGCGUGAUGCAGGGAGGCCGUGUGGGGGAUGAAGGCCUUCGGGUUGUAAACACCUUUCGCUAGGGAAGAAGCGAUUUUGUGACGGUACCUGGAGAAGAAGCACCGGCUAACUACGUG
rnacentral:rRNA from 1 species